UAAAAAAACUGGUGGUUCAAAUCGGAAUCGCCUGGCGCUUGCUGGUUCGAUUCCGGUUCCUAGUUUUGGGGAACCGGAACUGUUCGUUCCGGAACCAAAGCGGCUGGUUCUGGAACCAGAACUGUGGUCAGGCCUGAUUCUAGGUUUAUGCUAUGCUUCUUUGAAAAAAGUUUGCUGGAGAGCAUCCUUGAUGCUUCAGUUGAUCAUCACAUUUUUUAGCCAAAACUGACACAUGCAAUGGCAGCAGGAUGUUAAUUAUGAUAAAUUGACAGCAAAUGUAAUCGAGAAAUACAGUGACCUCUUGUUUGAGCCUCCAGAGAUGCUGCUACACCUGCACAAGUUUUCUUUUUAUGCAUUUUAGUUUAUUUCUGAUCUUUACUCAGAGAUAUAUUAAUAUAUUGUCCAGGUUUUUGCUCUUAUUUCUAUUCCUUUUAUACUAUCACAUCAACAUCAGUCUUGCUGCUCAUGAAACACAGGAUCAACAAAUGACGGAUGAAAUGGGACAAUAUGGAAUACCACUUGGUGUCUUGUCAACCAUUGCUGAGAUUCAGUUUCUUGAUGUUGUUGACAAAGUACUAGAAAACAGAGUGUUUGAGAAAAACCUCUGGUAUUCAGCUUAAAUUUCCUCAUCUGGUCGACUCAUUUGAAGAAAGGAGUGCCACUUCAUCGUUAAGGUCUCCUUCGUUGGCCACCACAGUUCCAAAUACUAAGGCUUUAAUAAAGAGCGACCCAGUUUGCAAUUUGAUACUUGGAACUUGGUUCAUAUGAUAGCCUACAAGGAUGCCAUGCUCAGUCACAAAGUCAACCAAUUUUUAACCUCCAUUUCUAUAUCCCUGGUCUAGACAACAACAGAAACGGCGAUUCUUGACAACCAGACUAAGUCAAAUUCAAGAUCUGAAGGUGUUGCCCCGAAUGAACUUUCACUGAUCCCCUUCUUCCAAAGAUCACAAUGGUUGGCAUCUUGAUGGGUGAUGGGCAGAUGACCAAAGCAAACUUGAAGAAGACGAUGAAAUACCUGACAAAGGGGUUAGAGCAAGCAAACCACCAAUGAAAACUCAUCCAAGAAAUGGAUCCUCUGUUCACAGCAAAUGUGGUUGGUUACUUUUGACAUCACAAGGCUGGGCUCUUUCUGACGUAGAAAACACUGAAAUAACUUACCAUGUUCCUGAUCCAUUCUUGACUCAUGCCGCAUGAGUACACUCUUAUAAAGGGACUCGAUUGGGGAGACUCAUCUUUGUUGCCAAGCAAUAAAUCUUGUGGUAAGUGGGGGACAGCAGGGGUUGAUCACUGAUCCAAUUCCACUCUUAGGUAUCUGGACAUACUACCAGGUGGGGAGCCAAUGGUUAAGCAUGCAUACUGUGGAUAUCCACUAUAUCUCUUUCAAUUUCGGAAGGCGGAUUUACCUGCCAUAUAAGUUCACGGUAGCACCGGCACCAACCAUGGCUGUCAGGUUGCUGUGUGGUAGCUGCUAUGCAACAUACAGUCCCAAGAAGAUCAUGUUGGAGGCUCGAUGUCAGUACCGCUGAUUCGCAGAAUGAACACCGAAGUCGACGGCAGGCUAAUCAGGUAUUGUUAUCCAGCACAUUUCUAAGUCUAUGCCGCAUGCCAUCUCAGGAAUCACUGAUGCUAUAAACAGUUGCAAUGUGGCCUCUGGACCCUGUUCAUGGGGCACCACCAUUCAUCCAGAUCACGACCACUUCGGGUGCCAUCCUCGUAAUAAUUCGAGCUUUUCGGCGUGGAGCCGAGUGUUGUUACAACAGUUAUAUGCACUAGGGUGAUGCUCUUGCUUGUGAAGCAAUGAUGGGAAUAACUCUUUUCCCUUUAUAUAUUUGUGUGUGUGUGUUAUCUGAUUCUGUCAGCUGGAGUGAUGUUGAUAAAACUAUCGACAGGAAUUAAUGGACAAAAGAUAAUAAUGAGAUUCGGGGAGGAUCUGAGGCUGUAUAUAGCCACUGAUUUGGUGGGCAUGGAGACAGUGUCGAGUGCUUUCCUGCUGGGCAUAUCCUUCUUUCUCUGGCCAUGUUUUUGCCGCAAUUCCACUACAAAGUGGCGUGCACUUUUGAUGGAGGGAUGGAUCUGUGUGUGAUUGGUUGAGGCUGCGACUGAGUGGUUGUCCUCUGGUCGCAUAGACGGAAGUAAUAGUCUUCUUCUUCUCUUUUUCUUCCUCUAUUAUGUUGAUUUCAUUAGUGCAAUAUUCUUCUCCUGAUUAACAAAAAGAAGUGUUUAAUAGCCUAAAGAGGAAUAGUUUGGGGGCAUAAAUUCUCUACCUCUUAGGCGGCUUCGGGAAUCAGAACAAAGAUGUUGCUGCAGUCGUAAUUGUCUGUAGAGUCAAAAGAAGGUUUGUCUCUGGUGCUCUUUAGUUGGUAUGAGUUGUUGUACAUGACAUAUAUAAUCUUAUACGGAUAUCAAUCAUAGGAAAGGGAACAUAUAAUUGCAAGUAGCAUAACUUCGUUGUUAUAGUUGUACAUGAAAAACAUCACGAACAUUUCGAUUAGGAUCGUCUUCUACUCGAUAUGUUCUUUUUUAUUCU